AGCAUAUCAAUAAGCGGAGGAAAAGAAACUAACAAGGAUUCCCCUAGUAACGGCGAGUGAAGAGGGAAAAGCUCAAAUUUAAAAUCUGACAGUCUAUGACUGUCCGAGUUGUAAUGUAGAGAAGUGUUUUCCGUGCUGGACCGUGUACAAGUCCUUUGGAACAAGGCGUCAUAGAGGGUGAGAAUCCCGUCUACGACACGGACUACCAGUGCUUUGUGAUACACUCUCAACGAGUCGAGUUGUUUGGGAAUGCAGCUCAAAAUGGGUGGUAAAUUCCAUCUAAAGCUAAAUACAGGCGAAAGACCGAUAGCGAACAAGUACCGUGAGGGAAAGAUGAAAAGCACUUUGGAAAGAGAGUUAAACAGUACGUGAAAUUGUUGAAAGGGAAACACUUGAAGUCAGUCGCGUCUUCAGAAAUUCAGCCUGGUGACAAGCCUGGUGUACUUUUCUGUUGGACGGGCCAGCAUCAGUUUCGGUCACUAGAUAAAGGUAAGAGGAAGGUGGCACCUGUGGGUGUGUUAUAGCCUCUUGUCGUAUGUGGUGACUGGGACUGAGGACCGCAGCACGCCUUGAUGGCCGGGGUUCGCCCACGUAACGUGCUUAGGAUGCUGGCGUAAUGGCUUUAAAUGACCCGUCUUGAAACACGGACCAAGGAGUCUAACAUGCCUGCGAGUAUUUGGGUGGCAAACCCAUAUGCGAAAUGAAAGUGAUCAGUUGGGACUUCUGUCAUGGAAGGCACCGACGCCCGGACCAGACCUAUUGUGAUGGAUCCGAGGUAGAGCAUGUAUGCUGGGACCCGAAAGAUGGUGAACUAUGCCUGAGUAGGGUGAAGCCAGAGGAAACUCUGGUGGAGGCUCGUAGCGAUUCUGACGUGCAAAUCGAUCGUCGAACUUGGGUAUAGGGGCGAAAGACUAAUCGAAC
rnacentral:rRNA from 1 species